GAUGAACGCUGGCGGCGUGCCUAAUACAUGCAAGUCGAGCGAACGGACGAGAAGCUUGCUUCUCUGAUGUUAGCGGCGGACGGGUGAGUAACACGUGGAUAACCUACCUAUAAGACUGGGAUAACUUCGGGAAACCGGAGCUAAUACCGGAUGAUAUUUUGAACCGCAUGGUUCAAAAGUUAAAUACGGUCUUGCUGUCACUUAUAGAUGGAUCCGCGCUGCAUUAGCUAGUUGGUAAGGUAACGGCUUACCAAGGCAACGAUGCAUAGCCGACCUGAGAGGGUGAUCGGACACACUGGAACUGAGACACGGUACAGACUCCUACGGGAGGCAGCAGUAGGGAAUCUUCCGCAAAGGGCGAAAGCCUGACGGAGCAAAGCCGCGUGAGUGAUGAAGGUCUUCGGAUCGUAAAACUCUGUUAUUAGGGAAGAACAUAUGUGUAAGUAACUGUGCACAUCUUGACGGUACCUAAUCAGAAAGCCACGGCUAACUACGUG
rnacentral:rRNA from 1 species